GCAGUCGAGCGAAUGGAUUGAGAGCUUGCUCUCAAGAAGUUAGCGGCGGACGGGUGAGUAACACGUGGGUAACCUGCCCAUAAGACUGGGAUAACUCCGGGAAACCGGGGCUAAUACCGGAUAACAUUUUGAACUGCAUGGUUCGAAAUUGAAAGGCGGCUUCGGCUGUCACUUAUGGAUGGACCCGCGUCGCAUUAGCUAGUUGGUGAGGUAACGGCUCACCAAGGCAACGAUGCGUAGCCGACCUGAGAGGGUGAUCGGCCACACUGGGACUGAGACACGGCCCAGACUCCUACGGGAGGCAGCAGUAGGGAAUCUUCCGCAAUGGACGAAAGUCUGACGGAGCAACGCCGCGUGAGUGAUGAAGGCUUUCGGGUCGUAAAACUCUGUUGUUAGGGAAGAACAAGUGCUAGUUGAAUAAGCUGGCACCUUGACGGUACCUAACCAGAAAGCCACGGCUAACUACGUGCCAGCAGCCGCGGUAAUACGUAGGUGGCAAGCGUUAUCCGGAAUUAUUGGGCGUAAAGCGCGCGCAGGUGGUUUCUUAAGUCUGAUGUGAAAGCCCACGGCUCAACCGUGGAGGGUCAUUGGAAACUGGGAGACUUGAGUGCAGAAGAGGAAAGUGGAAUUCCAUGUGUAGCGGUGAAAUG
rnacentral:rRNA from 1 species